rnacentral:rRNA from 1 species
UGGGGAAUAUUGGACAAUGGGCGAAAGCCUGAUCCAGCAAUGCCGCGUGAGUGAUGAAGGCCCUAGGGUUGUAAAGCUCUUUUACCCGGGAUGAUAAUGACAGUACCGGGAGAAUAAGCUCCGGCUAACUCCGUGCCAGCAGCCGCGGUAAUACGGAGGGAGCUAGCGUUGUUCGGAUAUACUGGGCGUAAAGCGCACGUAGGCGGCGCAGCAAGUCAGGGGUGAAAUCCCGGAGCUCAACUCCGGAACUGCCUUUGAAACUGCAGUGCUAGAAUCCUGGAGAGGCGAGUGGAAUUCCGAGUGUAGAGGUGAAAUUCGUAGAUAUUCGGAAGAACACCAGUGGCGAAGGCGACUCGCUGGACAGGUAUUGACGCUGAGGUGCGAAAGCGUGGGGAGCAAACA